UCCCAAAAAUUUUCAAUUUGCCAUCCUCCCAAAACUCCCGCUGCUUUCCAAAGACCUAAUUCAUUAUUCCCACAUGAUCUCUCAACUAAAAUUCAUAAUCGAUCUCUUCUCCAAAAUCAACUCAUAUGGUUUCCUACCUAUAAUCCCAAUCGUUUGACUGUGCUUGCCCGCGAGCGACCACCAAUCGACCGUUUGCAGUAGUUCGACUUGAGCAAUCAACCCAUUCAAUUGCUUCAACUACAACAAUCAAUCACGUUCCAAUCGACCCCUUUUGAAAGGUUUGAAGUUGCACGCCAACUGCUCGAUGAAAUGCUUCAUCCAAACUGAUUUUUAAUUUCAUAUGCCUUUUUAUGAGGGGGAGCUGCUUACCAUGGGCCAUUUUUUGGGAUCAUUGUGGAUUAUCUAAAGAGAGAAGUUACUAUUAUAGAAAGUGUUCUUAAGAAUCUAGUUUGUUGUUGAAUCUUUAACAAAAUGUCAAAUGCUUAUAUUUGCGGUGCU